UCUCUCUCUCUCUCUCUCUCUCGCUACCCUUCCCUCUCGAUCUCAACAACAAUCUCUGCACAUGACUGAUGUCCUCUAGCAAGCCCCUUCCUUGCUCAGCCGAGUUCUCUUCUUCUUCCACCCGUCCAAGCCAUGUGAACACAGGGCUCCUUCUGUGAGCGGAUUUGUCAGAGGCGCAUGAGGAAAUGACCGAGAAAAGGCCAUCUGUUACCUCAUUACUCUGCCUCCCAGCAGCCUGCCGCCGUCGGCUUCUGCGACGACCUGCCCCCUGGUGGCGGCGAUCUCUCCGGCUGUCACCCCUUGCCUCCCCACCGCCACCGCGCUAUCUCCUUCCCCCCUUGUUUUCUAGCCCUCUCAGUUUGGUAAAACAGCAGCCUUUUUUUCGGGGAGAGGGCGAGCAGUCAGGAGGGAAACAAGAUUGCGCGCAUUUAAAUUUUGAAAACUUACCAGAUAUUGAAGGUAAUGUCCGUAAUAAAUUGCGUGAUUCUGUUUUCGUUUAAAGGAGUUAGUUUUGAGAUGAAUCCGCCCCCCACAAUAUUUUCUCUCUCAUCCCAUGUGCGAGAACGAGGCCAGCCCAGAACGGGGCUCCGCGUGGAGGCAGUUCACGUGGGGAUGGAAUCCUCCCGCUUUGGCUGCUUCGGAGGGAGAUUUGGAGCGUAUAUCUCCCCCGGCAGCUCCAAAGGGUCAGCACAUGCUCUCUCUCUCUCUCUCUCUCUCUCUCUCUCUCUCUCUCUCUCUCUCUCUCUCUCUCUCCCUCUCCGUCCCCCUGCAACAUAAUCACAUAAUCAGAUUUUGAGAUGAAGAAGCAACUAUCGUAUUCUGUCUCACAAGGAUUUUCGAAAUGGUCAGUGGCAAUGUGGGUAAUCCACCGUAGACUCUCUCUUUCUCUCUCUCGAUCCCCCGUGAAUAUCAUCAUGCGAGGGGGUUGCGGUAUGAACAGGGGCAUUAUGGGGGCAUCCUUCCGUAAAAAUAUCUUCUUUCACAAGGAAUUCCGGAACCAUUGGAGGCAUUGUGGGCAAUUCACCCGAAGAAUCUCUCUCUCUCUCUCUCUCUCUCUCUCUCUCUCUAGCCCUUCCUCUCCCCUCUUAACAGAGGAGCGAGAUGAUAUCUCUUCGAGCUGUCUGUGAGUCACUACCAUGCCCGCUCCAUUCAAAUCCUCCCCUUCCACCGACUUUACUGGCUUCAAAGUUCUGCCCACUGUUGGGAUUCGCCGAGCAACCCCUCUCACCUUAUUUAUUCAUUAUAAUAGUGAUGCCCGACGGCUUUAUUCCUCUCUCUCUCUCUCUCUGCGUUAUUUUCUUCAAUUGCUCCCAUGUUAACUCCCUCUGAUCUCACCUUGGCCGUCGAUCGUCAACUGUCAUCUCAAAGCUCCUCGUGACUUACAAUACACCGAGGGAAAAUCAACCACGAAAUAACGGCGUAUAAAUUUAGUUAUCAGAAAUUUUCAAUAAUCAUAUUUUGACCCUUCACAUGGCGAUUGAUGAUUAACGCCGAUGCGAUAUGUACCAACAAAAUACGACGCUCCAAUAUAUUUUAUUUAUUUCUAUAAAUAUCUUCUAGCCAGGUGAGAAUUUGUUCAUCCGCCCAAGCAACAAAGUUCGAGCAUGACGAUAAAACCAAUAAAAUCUGGCUUCUAUCGUGGACCCACGAGUCAAUGGCCACACGCCAAGAGGGCUCUUAUCGUCAACAGUCUCACGCUGUGCGUCACUCCGGUGACGACCCGUCUUUAUGUGGGUUCGCGAUUGAAAUAGAGGGAUUCACG
rnacentral:lncRNA from 1 species